CACCACCCUCAUUUUCACCCAUUUCAGGCUCAGAAUAGGCUGUAGAUAGCUAAUUUCAUCGAGGCUACCAUUGGAUUUGCAUCCUCCAAACUAUAGGUUCACAGUCUUCCUUACUUUUAGUUAUUCGGGGGCCCACUGGUUAUUGUAAAUUAAAUUAAAUACUCUAGCUAACUGUAUUACAAUAUGUAUGAAUUUAUUUUGCUUUUACGCUGCUACAAAAAUUUGUUUAUGUAUAACUCUAAAAAUAUUGUUUUAUAAGAAAAUAAAAUAUUUUAUUGAAUAUUUCUUUUAUUUUUUUAUUAUAUCCAAAUAAUCAUAAUUUCAUUUUAAAUGAAGGUUUUAGAUGUUUAAACUUAUUUUUGAUUAUGAAUUAUGUGUUUUGUACUCGCAUACUACAUUUUUAGUGGA
rnacentral:lncRNA from 1 species